CUCUUUCACCAACACCCUCCGUAUAGCACUUAGGAUAUAGGCCAUGCAGUACCCCUGCUAUGAGGAACCUAAUGAGGAAUGUAGUUAGUUUCCCUCCCUAACUGGAAGAAGCUAAGCAGGUGGUAUCUGAAUGUUAUGGUCAAAGGAGAAGGGUCCUGCAGCAUACAAUCCUGUUUUAAGGAAAUCUUGCCCCAUACCCUUAUUUGUGAAAGCAUCAAAGCGCUUUGAAGAGUCCAAAGAGAUUACUCCAGGCCCAGCAACAUAUGAGUCAAAAGUAAUUUAAAAAAAAACAACAUUAAUAGAAGUUCAUCAUAAUCAUGAGAAAAUAUGGAAAAGUAAAUGAAAGAAAAUAAAAAGAUCUGUAACAGCAACAGCUGGAAAUGCCACUGUUAACACUGAGGUUGAGGUCCAGUUAUUGCAACAUCAGUAUUGAAAAGAUGAUUUUGCUUCAUUACACUGCCUUUGCUUCUUCGUCAAAGGAAUGACCAUUGUUGCAUUACCACUGGGAUUUGAAAACACAGCAUGAUCCCUGUGGGUGGUACAAUUUCCUCUGAGGA
rnacentral:sRNA from 1 species